rnacentral:tRNA from 2 species
UAAUUAGCUCAGUCGGUAGAGCACUCGGCUGUUAACCGAUAGGUCGUAGGUUCGAGUCCUACAUUA